GACGGGGGGGGGCAAGUGUUCUUCGGAAUGACUGGGCGUAAAGGGCACGUAGGCGGUGAAUCGGGUUGAAAGUGAAAGUCGCCAAAAAGUGGCGGAAUGCUCUCGAAACCAAUUCACUUGAGUGAGACAGAGGAGAGUGGAAUUUCGUGUGUAGGGGUGGAAAUCCGUAGAUCUACGAAGGAACGCCAAAAGCGAAGGCGAGCUCUCUGGGCCCUACCGGACGCUGGGGUGCGAAAGCAUGGGGAGCGAACAGGAUAGAUACCC
rnacentral:rRNA from 1 species